rnacentral:lncRNA from 1 species
CCAACUAACGUCUCUUACAAUGUGAUUAUCCAUGGGUUUCUUCUGACAUAAAGAUCCGGUUGAAGCAGUAGACCUGAUUCAAGAGAUGGUGUCCAAGGGGUUUUCAGCUGAUGCAACCACAUUGUCUUUGUUAAUAGAAUUGUUGUCCCGGAAACAGUUGGAUCAUCCACUGCUCAGAAAGCUGCUAGGUGAUUCUGAUGUGUAUAGUGAAGAGAUAAGGCCUAAGGAUUUAUCAGCAAAUACAAAUAGUCCGGUAAUUUGAUGUAACAGAGGCAAAGAAGUUGCAGCAGCAGCAGCUAGGAAGUUGAUAUUAUGGGAUACUACUUCUUGGUAUAAAGUAUAACUUAAUAGAUGCAUAUUUAUUGAUCAUUGCUCAGGUUUCUGCAACACUAAUCUGGGUUAAUGGCUGCUUAUUGUUAAUCUUUCUUCUUGAUAUGUCAAAUAGCAGGCAAACUUGUUAAGACUGAUCAACUCGAACACGGCAGCACGCCUAGCUACUUUCAGCUGCUUCGCCAGAAGAUGCGGGUCACAUUCCUUCUACUCGCAUGUGACUUCACUGGAACACUCUGCUGUCAGACAUAUUAGUUGGAAACUGCCUCAAUUAGCUUCUGUUGUGAGUAUCUCUCUGCUUGCUUCACUUCCUAACCAACACAUCGACC